CUGCCCCGCCGGGCCUGCCCCGCGCAGUCUGGGUCCCUGCGCUGCAGCCGCCCGCCCGCCCGCCCUCUCCGCGCCCGGCCCCGGGAUGACGGCGGCCCAGGCCGCGGGCGAGGAGGCGCCACCAGGCGUGCGGUCGGUCAAGGUGGUCCUGGUGGGCGACGGCGGCUGCGGGAAGACCUCGUUGCUGAUGGUCUUCGCCGAUGGGGCCUUCCCCGAGAGCUACACCCCCACCGUGUUUGAGCGGUACAUGGUCAACCUGCAAGUGAAAGGCAGACCUGUGCACCUCCACAUCUGGGACACAGCAGGGCAAGAUGACUAUGACCGCCUGCGGCCCCUGUUCUACCCUGAUGCCAGUGUCCUGCUGCUCUGCUUUGAUGUCACCAGCCCGAACAGCUUUGACAACGUCUUUAACCGGCUCUGCCUGAGGUUGCUGGAUGACCCAGAGGCUCCUGCAUCUCCCCAGCCUGUGCCUGCCCGAGGUGCACGAACCGUGAAGUCAGAGUGCGGCAGCUCUGCGUGGCUGCUGGUUCUCAAAGUGGUACCCAGAAGUGAAUCAUUUCUGCAAGAAGGUGCCCAUCAUCGUCGUGGGCUGCAAGACUGACCUGCGCAAGGACAAAUCACUGGUGAACAAGCUCCGAAGAAACGGGUUGGAGCCUGUGACCUACCACAGGGGCCAGGAGAUGGCGAGGUCUGUUGGCGCGGUGGCCUACCUCGAGUGCUCGGCUCGGCUCCAUGACAAUGUCCACGCUGUCUUCCAGGAGGCGGCCGAAGUGGCCCUCAGCAGCCGCGGUCGCAACUUCUGGCGGCGGAUUACCCAGGGCUUUUGCGUGGUGACCUGAGCAUCUCGGGGCGUCCCAGCAGCGCGGGAAGGGGCAGGGUGCUGACCUACUGCUGAGCUAGCUGGGCUGGACCCGGUCCCUAGGCUGUGACCGCCAAACUGCACCACAACAGACGGGUGCCACCAAGGCCAAGCCCUGGGGCCUGGGAGUCUUGGACUGAGAAAGGGGGUUCCUGGGCCCACCUGCCCUAUGUAGGGCUCAUCCUGCCAUGCCCGAGAAUCACUCACUGACCCCUUCACCUGGUCCCAGACCGACAUCCUGGAGCCGCCUGUGCAGCCUGAUGCCCCCUCGUGGCUGCUCCCAGGGCUGCACCUGCCAGGACCUAAAGUUCUUAGGUCCCUCCUGCCAGAACCCACACCCAGCCCCAUCGCACCUGUCUUACUGGUAACUGUAACAAGGAAAACGACAUCACUUGUCA